UAUCAAGAACCAUAGAUUUAUCUGCCGAACCACAAUGUUCUGUGUUGAACCCUAAAGACUUAGCGACAUUGAGAACUUCCAGAUGCUCUGCCAUCAAGCUAGUAUCGAUAACCAUAGAUUUCUUUGCUGAACCCCAAAGCCUUCCUCGUAUUGAGAACUACCGGGCACUGUGCCGGCUAGACAGCGUCGAGAACCACAAAGUUCUCUGCUGAAACCAAGGCCUUGCUAGUGUCAGGUACUUUCGGGUUCUCUGCCUGUGAGAUAGCAUAGAUAUCCAUAGAGUUCUCUGCUAAACUCCAAGGCUUGGCAGACGUCGAAGACUUUCACGUUCUCUAUCGGUGAGCCACCAUCGAGAACUACAAAGUUCUCUGCUGACCCCUAAAGCCUUACCGGUGUCGAGAACUUCCGAGUUCUCUGGUGGUGAGCCAGCAUCGAGAACCACAAAGUUCUUUGCUGGACCCUAAAGCCUUGUCGAUGCUGAGAACAUCUGGGCUCUGUGCCGACGGGCCAAUAUCGAGAACCAUAGAGUUCUCUGCUGAACCCAAGGGC
rnacentral:lncRNA from 1 species